CCAGGUACGUCUUGUCUACUAGCUUCAAUAUGAAUCCGAUUAAAUGUGAUAGGGUUUAAGGCCCCAUUUCAUCAGCACAUAACGGCGAUGAUGAUGAGGAGACCAUCUCUCUGGAUUCCAAAAGGCAUAAGGACCCAGUGUCAUUGGUGCACUGGACUGCACACACAUAAGGAUAAAAGCCCCCUCAGGUGCCCAUGAGGCAGAUUUUGUAAAUAUGAAAUCUUUUUACAGCAUUAAUGUUCAGGUGAACAUGACUUUUUGAUCUUUUCCAUUGAACACUGGCAAAAUGGCCUGCCUCAGUCCAUGACUCCAGAAUCUUUCGGACCUCUGAAAUCUAUCAGCGCCUAUCACAAGGUGAAUUCUCUGGUGUAUUGCUGGGAGACAGGGGGUAUGGCUGCCAGCCUUUUUUCCUGACACCUUUCACAGACCCCCAGGAAGCACAGCAGGCCUACAACUAUGCCCAUGCCAGGACCAGAGUUGAAAUGACCUUUGGCCUCCUGAAGGCACACUCUCACUGCUUUCACAAAUUAAGGGUCAGCCAUGUGAGGGCAUGUGACAAUACUGUGGCUCGUGGUGUCCUCCACAAUGUGGCCUGCCUGAGGAGGGAGAGGGCCAUGGACUGGGACAAUUCGGAAAUCUUCCCUGAUGACAACAGUGGUCGGCUGCUGAGGGAUCAAUAUGUGUUGAAUUAUUUUAGUUAGUAUGUGUGCUUUCAAUUAUUAUUUUUUUUUAUUUGGCCUCUUUUGAUGUUUGUGCUGUAUACUGUGUGUAUACUGUUUGUAAUACAAGCUUGCAGGGAGGCUACUGCAUCCAUUAAUUUGUCUGUUCAGUUAGUGUGUGUAUGGAUUUGUCCUGCAUUUAUUUCAGUGUGCAGACAUGUAGGGUGUGUUAUAUACAGACCUUUGAAUGUGUAUUUAUCCUUUGGUUGUAUAAUAUGCUUUGAUUCUGUGCUUUCCAUCUUGUAGAGUCACUGUGUGACUUCAGUUUCGAAAGGAGCUGAUGGUUUACCUGCUUUGUUUUGUCCUUAUUCAAUAAAGGAACAUAAUGUUA